rnacentral:lncRNA from 1 species
GGGGGUCAAUUGACUAUUUUGGUCAUACUGACUUAUUUUUAGUUCUUACUUUGCUGUACAUUAUUGUUGUUUACAGUUUAUCUCUAUCUAUAAUAAUAUUCAAGAUAAUAACAACAAAAACAGCAAAAUUUCCUCAAAAUUACCAAUUCAGGGGCAGCAACCUAACAACCGAUUAUCCGAUUCAUCUGAAAAUUCCAGGGCAGAUAGAUCGUGACCUGAUCAACAAUUUAACUUCCUGUCAGAUUUGCUAUUAAUGCUUUGGUUUUUGAGUUAUAAGCCAAAAACUGCAUUUUACCCCCAUGUUCUAUUUUUAGCCAUGGUGGCCAUCUUGGUUUGUUGGCCGAGUUACUGGACACAUUUUUUUAACUAGAUACCCCAAUGAUGAUUAUGGCUAAGUUUGGUUAAAUUUGGCCCAGUAGUUUCAGAGGAGAAGAUUUUUCUAAAAGAUUACUAAGAUUUACGAAAAAUGGUUAAAAAUUGACUAUAAAGGGCAAUAACUCCUAAAGUGGUCAACUGACCAUUUUGGUCAUGUUGACUUAUUUGAAGAUCUUACUUUGCUGAACAUUAUUGCUGUUUACAGUUUAUCUGUAUCUAUAAUAAUAUUCAAGAUAAUAAC